rnacentral:lncRNA from 10 species
GUGCCUAUCAGUUAAGUUUGAUUUUCACCUUUAUCUCUAACAGAUUCAUGGAAGACUUCUAAAGGAAUAAGGGUGGAAGAACAGUCAUAGAAAAAAGGAAAAUACUGAAGUGUCAUUUCACUACGUCUCUAUAAUAUAUUUGACAAAAAAAAGAGUAAAGCACUGCAUAUAUGUCACAAUGUAUAAUACACAAAAGAAUUUUUAUUGUUGUUUUUAGUUGUUUAUUUUUGUUUUUGCUGUACUUUUCAAGACAACAUUACUUUAAACAAGCAUACCUUCAAACACUAGCAGUUUUACUUCAGUUAAUUGAUAAUUAAAACAACAAACAUGUUUUUCAUACAGCUAGAUAGGCCCUCAAACUUAUCAUGUCUUAAAUUUUUCUACUUUGGUUACACCUUAUAACAAGAAUUGGACUUUGUACUACCUAAAAUUUAUGUAUUAAUACGAUACAUUUUCUAAUUUUUUAAAUUCAUUUUCUGGUAGCUUUGUUUGUUUGUUUUUAAACAGGAUCUUACACUGUCACCCAGGCUGGAGUGUAGUGGCACAAUCGCGGCCCACUGCUGCCUUAACCUCCCACGCAUAAGCCAUCCUCCUACCUCAGCCUCCUGAGUAGCUGGAACUACUGGCACAUGCCACCUCACCCAGAUAAUUUGUUAAUUUUUGUAGAGAUGAGUUUUUGUCAUGUUGCCCAGGCUGGCCUUGAACUCCUGGGCUCAAGAAAUCUGACCACCUUGGCCUCCCAAAGUGUUGGGAUUACAGACGUGAGCCACCAUGCCCGGACUUCUUGUGUAAUUUUUUAAAAAAAUGUUAAUGAUUAAAGUGCUAAUGCUAUAGGGACUUUAAGGAUGAUAUUUAAGAGACUCCACAGUAAAAUAUAUCUAAUUUCUCAGUAUUAUUUUUUAUUACUCCAGUGGUACACCAAGUUUUUAAUGUAACUCACAAAUAGAGUACAUUAAAGAAAUAUAACAGAAAAAAAA